rfam:Caenorhabditis elegans chromosome X
ACAUUGCGUGGUCCCUGAGAAUUCUCGAACAGCUUCAAAGUGUUCAAGCUGUCGAGUUUUGUCAAGGACCAAACAAUA